rnacentral:rRNA from 1 species
GACGUAGGAGGCGAGCGUUGUCCGGAUUCAUUGGGCGUAAAGAGCACGCAGGCGGUUUGGCAAGUCGGAUGUGAAAACCCGGAGCUCAACUCCGGACCUGCAUCCGAAACUGCCCGACUAGAGGUAGGUAGGGGAGAUCGGAAUUCCUGGUGGUAGCGGUGAAAUGCGCAGAUAUCAGGAGGAACACCGGUGGCGAAGGCGGAUCUCUGGGCCUACCUGACGCUCAGGUGCGAAAGCUAGGGGAGCGAACAG